UCCUACUGUGACAUGUCAAAAUGUCCUCUGCGGAAAAAGGCCUGUUGGAACUGGUUCCUGUGUCCUCUAGCACUUCUUGCACCAUGAAGCUCCCAAAUGCACUCAGGACUCCUCUCUUUGUGUUCAUCCUCGCAGCUCGGCAGACUGUGGCAUGCAGACUUCAGCUCAACUGGGAUAUGAUGCCAGUAGCAAUCCGAAGGGCAGUUGGAAAUUAUCAAGACCAUCAGCAGGACAUAGGAGAGAGAUGAUGUCUCCUCCUGAAGUAACGAGAGGCCCUGGACAACAAAUGCAGCACAAUCCUGAAGUUCUGCUAAGAAGUCAUUCAGGGGUGAAAGAUGUUCUGGCUGAUGUAAGUUUGUUUUCACUCUCACAGAAACAUGGUUGAAUUAGGGUUGAUUCCAUCAAAUAUAGCAGUAGUAUA